rnacentral:rRNA from 1 species
ACAUUUAUAUAGUGAAACUGCGAAUGGCUCAUUAAAUCAGUUAUAAUUUACUUGAUAAUUUUAUACCAGUGGAUAACCGUGGUAAUUCUAUGGCUAAUACAUACAUUAAAGGGCUUUGCUAUGCAAAGCCUGUAGUUAUUAGAUACAAAACCAAUGCAUGCAAAUGCUUAUUUGGUGACUCAUAGUAAACUUACAGAUCGUUGCUUUUGCGACGUGUCAAUCAAAUUUCUGCCCUAUCAACUUUCGAUGGUAAGGUAGUGGCUUACCAUGGUUGUAACGGGUGACGGGGAAUAAGGGUUCUAUUCCGGAGAGGGAGCCUGAGAAACGGCUACCACAUCCAAGGAAGGCAGCAGGCGCGCAAAUUACCCAAUCCUAAUACAGGGAGGUAGUGACAAUAAAUAACAAUCCAGGGCCCUUAUGGGUCAUGGAAUUGGAAUGAAUACAAAUUAAAACUCUUAAUGAGGAACCAUUGGAGGGCAAGUCUGGUGCCAGCAGCCGCGGUAAUUCCAGCUCCAAUAGCGUAUAUUAAAGUUGUUGCAGUUAAAACGCCCGUAGUCGAAUUUUUGAGGGUAGGAAGGUUAAGAGGGGUGCUGGCUUUUGUUAGUAUUCCUCUUUUCUUUUAGACCCUCAUUUUAAAUUCCUGGUCUUUGGGCCUAUUUGCAACUUUACUGGUGUAGAUAGGUCAUUUCCUUUUGGUGGGCCAGGAAUGAUUACUUUGAAAAAAUUAGAGUGUUCAAAGCGGGCUUUUUAAGCCGAAUACAUUAGCAUGGAAUAAUAAAAUAGGACUAUGGUUUUAUUUUGUUGGUUUAUAAAACUAAAGAAAUGAUGAAUAGGUUUGGUUGGGGACAUUAGUAUUUAAUAGUCAGAGGUGAAAUUCUUGGAUUUAUGAAAGACUAACUUCUGCGAAAGCAUUUGUCAAGGACAAACCCAUUGAUCAAGGACGAAAGUUGGGGGAUCGAAGAUGAUUAGAUACCGUCGUAGUCUCAACCAUAAACUAUGCCAACUAGGGAUUGGGCCUGAUCUGAUCAGGCUCAGCACCUUGUGAGAAAUCCAAAGUUUU